UAGGGAAUCUUCCGCAAUGGACGCAAGUCUGACGGAGCAACGCCGCGUGAGUGAAGAAGGAUUUCGGUUCGUAAAACUCUGUUGUUAGAGAAGAACAGCGCAUAGAGUAACUGUUAUGCGUGUGACGGUAUCUAACCAGAAAGCCACGGCUAACUACGUGCCAGCAGCCGCGGUAAUACGUAGGUGGCAAGCGUUGUCCGGAUUUAUUGGGCGUAAAGCGAGCGCAGGCGGUCAAUUAAGUCUGAUGUGAAAGCCCCCGGCUCAACCGGGGAGGGUCAUUGGAAACUGGUUGGCUUGAGUGCAGAAGAGGAGGGUGGAAUUCCAUGUGUAGCGGUGAAAUGCGUAGAUAUAUGGAGGAACACCAGUGGCGAAGGCGACUCUAUGGUCUGUAACUGACGCUGAGGUUCGAAAGCGUGGGUAGCAAACAGG
rnacentral:rRNA from 1 species